AGCGAACGCUGGCGGCAGGCCUAACACAUGCAAGUCGAACGGACCCUUCGGGGUUAGUGGCGGACGGGUGAGUAACACGUGGGAACGUGCCUUUAGGUUCGGACUAGCUCCUGGAAACGGGUGGUAAUGCCGAAUGUGCCCUUCGGGGGAAAGAUUUAUCGCCUUUAGAGCGGCCCGCGUCUGAUUAGCUAGUUGGUGAGGUAAUGGCUCACCAAGGCGACGAUCAGUAGCUGGUCUGAGAGGAUGACCAGACACAUUGGGACUGAGACACGGCCCAAACUCCUACGGGAGGCAGCAGUGGGGAAUCUUGCGCAAUGGGCGAAAGCCUGACGCAGCCAUGCCGCGUGGAUGAUGAAGGUCUUAGGAUUGUAAAAUCCUUUCACCGGUGAAGAUAAUGACUGUAGCCGGAGAAGAAGCCCCGGCUAACUUCGUGCCAGCCGCCGCAGUAAUAC
rnacentral:rRNA from 1 species